rnacentral:lncRNA from 1 species
UUCUAACCCCUAAAACCCUAAAAUACAACAAAAUCCAAAAUCAAACACCAAAAACAACUGCAAAAAAAACAUAUAAACUUACAACUAUAGAGUGAAAUGUGAACUCAAACACCUUAGAAAAAAUAAAAAACAAAUUGCAGUAAUCAACAAUGGAAUCGGGCCAAGAGAGAGUAUGAGGGUCUGGUUGAACUUAAAAAGAAAGAAAUGGAGGU